GAUACGAUCGGAAGUGAUCCAGUUAGGUAUGGAGGAGACUUCGGGUCCUUUGACAAAAAACCACUCCUUAUGCCAUCCUUGGUUGCUCGAAGGAGUGUCCAUUAAUGCUCGCCUCUCGAACCUGGCAUUAGGUUUGGAAGAUUGUUUGUUCAGCAUCUCGAAGCCUCGUUCUCAAGAUUUACCGGCUAUGAGCAGGGUGAAGAAGAAGUUUUCAGCAGGUGGAAUCCCUUGUUCGUGGCAGAAGGCGAAAGAUGUCAGGAUGCGGAUAUAGGAGUUCAGCACUAAGUGGGUGAAUCCCACGCCUACAAACCCUAGUAGAAUGAUGACAAAGGCAUAGAUAGGUAAGCGAACUCCCUCUUCGAGAAGGGUCAUCGGCAUGGCGGUCCAGCCUUCGGGUCGCUGGUACAUUCGUUCGUGGGGAGCUGGAGCCCUUACCAUGUGGGUGUCCCGAAUCUGAUAGCGGGUCCGAAGGUUACCCAACUCAUUCUCAGUGACGGUGGAAGGAGUGUUGGCAUGAGGGAAAUAUUCUUCACUUUUGAAGAAUUCUGAAGGAUUGGGAAUAGUUUUUAGUGGUUGAUUCUGAUUGUGAGUAUCAACAGAUUUGGGAUUUGAACUCGGAGCCUCUUUUUUGCUAGAGCUCGGAUUGGGAAGAACAAUGGUAGUAGGGGCUAUGCGAAGUGGAGAAUUUUGAUUAGUAUUCUGAGAAGCCAUUGUUAAUUAGUUGCAGAGAGAAAUUUGGAGAAGAAGAGGAGUAAGGAAUAUCCGAAUUUCGAAUUGAGUUGGUAAAACUGUCAGAUUUGGGAGAAAGCAGCUUUUAUACUAGAGUUCUCUUCAACUUUUCACAAGGUUCAGGGG
rnacentral:lncRNA from 1 species